UUUUCUUUCAGAGGAGUAGGAAGAGAAUGGCAAUGGCCUGGGUAGAAUGACCUAAAUGCCCUCCUGAGUCCUGUGUGGGUCCUGCUUCCUCUUCCCCCACCUGGCAAUGAUGAUUUCAACCCAAAGAAAGUUUAAACUGUCAAACUUGAACUUCACUGUCAAGUUAACUAAAAAACUAGAAACAGAAGCCUUCCUUCCUGUCAAACAAUGUCAAAUCCUUAUUAUGAGUUCUUUUUCACCAGAAAAUAUUGAAAGCAUUUCUUUUUUUCCACAGGGUGUUUUAUAUUGCUUUGCAUCUUAGUCUGUUUGAGCUGCUAUAAUGAAUACCAUAAACUGGGUGGCUUCAACAACAAACAUCUAUUUCUCAUCAUUCUGCAGCCUGACAAGUCCGAGAUCAAGUUGCUGACAGCUUUCGUGCCUGGUGAAAGCCCUCUUUCUGGUUGGAGCCUGCACAGCUAACUCACCAGUGAAACCCAAAUUGUUUAUGAACAUCACGAAUGGGCUAUUUACCUCUGAAGUCCUGAUGGAAGUCAUAUGUCUGGCUAUUCCAGCACCUACUAAUCACUCAGUUCUUUGAAUUUUUAUGGCAUAAGAGUCCUUAUGCCUCCUUUGGGCAUUUUUGGAUAUAUUAACUUUUCAUUGCAUCUUACAAUUGUUUUGCAGCUAUUGAGGGUGAUAGAUAAACUUACCUAAUAGUCAUCUUAAUUUUUCCUUUUGUUUUUUUAACUCCAAGUACCCAUCGCAAUGCCCUAAACUAAAGGUUCAACCAGUAAGAGUUUAUUAGGUUGAAUUGAACUUACCUUUUUGUAACUCUUGGAACUAUAGUCUAAUGGGAUAAAUUUAAUGGUAGCAUUUCAGAUAUUACAGCAGACGAGCAGCAAAGGUCAUUUGGGAUUAGAAGGGCUUUUGGAACGCCCAAACCUAGCCACAUAUAUGCUAUUGAUGUGGAAUGCUGGCCCUAAUUACUCUGAUGCUGGUCCUGCCCCAGUUCAGGUCUCCGUGUAAUAUUAUCACCCAAACUCACUCAGGACUGUUCAGUAACAGGAAACCAAUUACAAGGCACCAAAUUAGAAUGCGAGAAGGACUUGGCCUAUGAACUCUUACACCAGCAGAGGGCACUUCCUUGUAGCAUGCAAGUCUGCUGAGGAAAGCAAAUUAGAAUGAGAAGACGCCUGAAGACAGCUGGACACAAUUACACAGAGAUGUUUUCCAAUCAGCUAUGGAAAGCAAAAGAAUGGCCCUUUCUGUCUCCAGAUGGAUAAAACUUUGCUCACUUGGAAUUGGAAUCCCAGUCCUUUGGGAAAUGCUUAGAGUGAGCUGAUAAACUCUUAUUCUCUGACUCCCUUUCUAAAGUUUACGUAAACCUACAUCUUCUGAAUUCCAUAUUUUCAUCUUAUUUUAGAUCUCCCUGUCUUUCCCCGUUGUCCUUAGGGGGAUAUCCCUGUACUGUUAGUAUUAUUAGUCUUACUGAGACUCUGCCUGUUUUUAUCCUGGGGAAAAUUUCAAUCACAUGUCUGAUAACCUUUUAACUCUUUCUGAUAUUCAAUCUGGAGUCUCCCAAAUUCGGGUGUGCACCAAGAAAGUGAGGGAUUUCUAGGAGUUCAUGCUAAACAGAUUCAAACUCCAGGCAUCUAUUGGGGGAAAAAAAGGCGGUGUUAUAAAUAAGUGUUGUGGAUCAGAAAUAGGCAGAUUGUUCUUGGUUAUGAUAAUAUAGAGGAUUAUAAUUUAGGUGCAGAGAAUCCCCAAAUGAAGCAUGGGGUAAGCGUUGGAGGCAUGACGGCACUUCAGUUUUAGUUGUGUGGAACUCAACGUGUGAUGGUAGCAAUAAUUAUCCCAAUUACAAAAAACCUGAGGUACAGAGGUUAAAUAACUUGAGUAAUAUCACAGCUUAUGAUAAAGCUGAGAUUUGGACUAAGUUCAGUCUGGCUGAGAAGUUUCUCUGCACUUCCUGCUGUUAUCUUGGGCCCAAGUGUUGCUGCCUCUCAACUCCAGGAAUCAGCAAAUGUAUUUCCACGGACUAGCUGUUUGUUUUCAGUAAGUUUUUCAUCGGUCAACAGUGGUUUCAAAGUAGAAUAAGAAAAGUGAGAGUUAUCUGCAUGAAAUAUAUCUUCAAUUUUCUUGAAUGUCUUCGUCUCUUGUAUAUUUACUUCCUUAUCCCAUUCCUGAAAUAAAUCAAGUCAAAUAAACUUUGCAA